rnacentral:tRNA from 1 species
GCCAGGAUAGCUCAGCAGGUAGAGCAGCCGCCCGAAAAGCGGUGUGUCGGUGGUUCAAUUCCAUUUCCUGGCACCA